UUAAAUGAAAGAAUCUUCGUCUUUGUGCAAAAAGUCUCCAAAAGCAGAAGUAGUCGUUAAAGGUUUGACGAAAGCGCCUGCUUACGAUUUCAAAUUGCUCAUUUCAAAUUGCUCAUGAAAAUGGCGUGCAGGAACCCAUUCCGCUGUGAAUCACUAACGCAGCAGCAAAUUGACGAGCAGUUUGUGCAUGAUGUUGCACGAUCUAUAUGACAUACGCCCGGUUUUCUGCAUGCCCACCUCCACCAGCUGGACCCGUUCCUCCGGUUCCAAAUUCUACUUCAGAAACCACGGGGCGCUACACGAACACGAGACAAGGUGAAGACGGGACAAGCGCUAACCAAAGGACACAGAUCCAAAGGAGCAACAGAAGACAGACCCAAGGUGCUAGAAAUACACUUCAGAAGGGAGGACGUUUGGGCGCGUUGGCAGUUCACCGUACUUCAGAAACCAUGGCGCACUACACGAACACGAGACAAGGUGAAGACAGGACAAGCACUAACCAAAGAACACAGAUCCAAAGGAGCAACAGAAGACAGGCCCAAGGUACUAGAAAUACACUUCAGAAGGGAGGACGUUUGGGCGCGUUGGCAGUUCAUCGUACUUCAGAAACCAUGGCGCACUACACGAACACGAGACAAGGUGAAGACAGGGCAAGCGCUAACCAAAGAACACAGAUCCAAAGGAGCAACAGAAGACAGGCCUAAGGUACUAGAAAUACGCUUCAGAAGGGAGGACGUUUGGUCGCGUUGGCAGUUCAUCGUACUUCAGAAACCAUGGCGCACUACACGAACACGAGACAAGGUGAAGACAGGACAAGCACUAACCAAAGAACACAGAUCCAAAGGAGCAACAGAAGACAGGCCCAAGGUACUAGAAAUACACUUCAGUAGGGAGGACGUUUGGGCGCGUUGGCAGUUCAUCGUGCUUCAAAAACUAUGGCGCACUACACGAACACGAGACAAGGUGAAGGCAGGACAAGCGCUUACCAAAGAACGCAGAUCUAAAUGAGCAACACAAGAAAUGCCCAAGGUACCAGAAAUACCCUUCAGAAGGGAAGACGUUUGAGCGUGUUUCUGAAGUACGAGGAUCUGCCAACACGCCCAAACGUCCUCCCUUCUGAA